CAGUAGCCGCGGUAAUACGGAGGGGGCUAGCGUUGUUCGGAAUUACUGGGCGUAAAGCGCACGUAGGCGGCUUGGUAAGUUAGAGGUGAAAGCCCGGAGCUCAACUCCGGAAUUGCCUUUAAGACUGCCGAGCUAGUAGGUGAGAGAGGUAAGUGGAGUUCCGAGUGUAGAGGUGAAAUUCGUAGAUAUUCGGAAGAACACCAGUGGCGAAGGCGGCUUACUGGCUCAUUCUAGACGCUGAGGUGCGAAAGCGUGGGGAGCAAACAGGAUUAGAUACCCGCGUAGUCCCUGUCUCUUAUAC
rnacentral:rRNA from 1 species